GUCCUACUGGCGCAAUCGGUAGCGCGUAAGUAUAUCCUCUAUCCAGUCUUGAACUUCAUAUCUUCCUAACACAAUUCACAGGUAUGACUUCUAAUCAUAAGGUUGCAAGUUCGAGCCUUGCGUAGGACU